GGUUAAGCGACUAAGCGUACACGGUGGAUGCCUUGGCAGUCAGAGGCGAUGAAGGACGUGCUAAUCUGCGAUAAGCGCCGGUAAGGUGAUAUGAACCGUUAUAACCGGCGAUUUCCGAAUGGGGAAACCCAGUGUGAUUCGUCACACUAUCAUUAACUGAAUCCAUAGGUUAAUGAGGCGAACCGGGGGAACUGAAACAUCUAAGUACCCCGAGGAAAAGAAAUCAACCGAGAUUCCCCCAGUAGCGGCGAGCGAACGGGGAGGAGCCCAGAGCCUGAAUCAGCAUGUGUGUUAGUGGAAGCGUCUGGAAAGGUGCGCGAUACAGGGUGACAGCCCCGUACACAAAAGCGCAUGUGCUGUGAGCUCGAUGAGUAGGGCGGGACACGUGGUAUCCUGUCUGAAUAUGGGGGGACCAUCCUCCAAGGCUAAAUACUCCUGACUGACCGAUAGUGAACCAGUACCGUGAGGGAAAGGCGAAAAGAACCCCGGCGAGGGGAGUGAAAAAGAACCUGAAACCGUGUACGUACAAGCAGUGGGAGCACAGGUUUACCUGUGUGACUGCGUACCUUUUGUAUAAUGGGUCAGCGACUUAUAUUCUGUAGCAAGGUUAACCGUAUAGGGGAGCCGUAGGGAAACCGAGUCUUAACCGGGCGUUAAGUUGCAGGGUAUAGACCCGAAACCCGGUGAUCUAGCCAUGGGCAGGUUGAAGGUUGGGUAACACUAACUGGAGGACCGAACCGACUAAUGUUGAAAAAUUAGCGGAUGACCUGUGGCU
rnacentral:rRNA from 1 species